rnacentral:tRNA from 1 species
GGUAGAGUGGUGUAUAGAGCACGUAGAGUUUUGGUCUCUAAAGGAGUAAUUCACUUUGCUUUCUACUA